AUACCCUCUCGCAAGUGUUCUCGCACACUCCAGAUUCCCGAUUCGCCAACACACCAUCCCCUCCCCAAUUUUCCCUCCAUUAACGAGCUUUUUAAGCAGCUCAAAUUAUUCCACUACCCAACCUCUUCCCCCUUCCCACACCGCUAAGCCGAAGCGGAGCCUAAUUUAAGCCGGAAUCAGUAUUUUAUUUUUAAGCAGCUCGAAUUGUUUGCUGGUGGCGAUCGCUCAAACUCGGUGAAAAAACCCACAAAUUUGCCAAGUAAAAAUAGUCCCUGGCAAGUAAUGAGCUAUCUCCAUGUCAGCUGCUGAUUCAUGGAUUCAGAUUACCAGAAGUUUGGAAGAGGGCCUAGAGAACUUACAGGUGCUGUGGAUCUUAUAAGUCACUACAAGUUGUUACCUCAUUAUGAUUUCUUCUGCAAGAGGUCACUUCCUGUGCCAAUAGCAGACACCCAUUAUCUUCACAAUGUUGCCGGAGAUACAGAAAUCAGAAAGGGGGAGGGGAUGCAAUUGGGCCAGCUCAUUCAGAAUUCUUCUUUAUCUAGAGAAACUAAUACACGUAUACAACCUUUUGACCUAGAUGUUCUUAGGGAAGCCUUUCAGCUAAGGGAAACGGCUCUAGUUGAUCUUCCUUCUUCUGAGAAGGGCACUCCCACCAUUGCUGGGAAAUCGAAGAACGAGUCUAAAGAUAAAGAGAAGAAACAUAAGAAGCAUAAGGACAGAGAUAAGGACAAGGACAGAGAGCACAAAAAGCACAAACAUCGGCAUAAAGAUCGAAGCAAAGACAAGGACAAGGAGAAGAAAAAGGAUAAAAGUGGUCAUCAUGAUUCUGGAAAUGACCACUCAAAAAGGCAUCAUGAGAAGAAAAGGAAGCAUGAUGGAGAUGAGGAUGGCGGUGAUAUUCAUAAACACAAGAAAAGUAAGCACAAGAGCUCAAAGAUAGAUGAUAUGGGAGCAAUAAAGGUUGCAGGGUGAAAAAUGGUGGUUGAUCUUUAAAUUUCUCAUCAGAUGUUGGAGUUGAUAAUAGAGGAAUUCUUACUUAGUUAUUUCAAGUUAUCUAAGAGCUUUAUUUGGACUUACUAAAGAUUGCCAAGAAGUGAAUCCAAGGUAAAAAAAAAAAUGGUGAAAAUGGAAUUCAUCUGUGCCAUAACAAGGCUCUUAUAUCUCUGUAACAAUAUUCAAAAGGAUUUAAUUUAUUUCGUUUUAAUCUUUUCUUGGGUUUGAAAUUAUUCAAUAGCUAUAUGGCUUAUUAUUUUUCUUCA